rnacentral:tRNA from 1 species
GAGUGUCUAGUUUAAUUUUAUAAAACGAUAGGUUGUCAAGCUAAAGUUAUCCCUAGUCGGGGGGUGUCCCUCU